CUGGCUUUGCGUAUCUUGUUCUACAGGCGCUCAGUGACGUCGGUUUCCGCCACCCUCAUAUGGCCAUACUCUACUGCCUCGCCGCGGCCGAGCAGCUGCGGACCCUUCCCCGUCCCCGGCCACCAAGGAAUCCGGUGGCAGUACCGUAGGCACCCUUUGGAGUUGACAAGGAUAUUUGUGAAACUAAAUGGAAUUCAAUACCAAUUUAUGCUAUGAAUUAUAUAUAGCAUUAUCCAGCAAGUAUGGUGUGCCUCAUUUUUAGGUACUUUGUCUGAGCUUGCUUGUAAAUUAGAUUUUGUUUCAGUGUAAUCAAUUCUUGUUGGUGCUACAAUCACAGGAAAAGAAACAACAUAGGAUAGAACUUGCAUUUAAUUAAUUGUAGUGGUCGGAGGGUCUCAACAACUUCUGGAUCAACUGUUGCUACAUGCUAUCAGCUGGAUAAUUUGUGAUGCCAUUAUCGAGC